UGUUAAUUUCCAAUUUUGGCCAUCUCUUACUCUCACGCACACUGGUUCUCUCUGGGCUCUCCGUGUCUCUCUUCCUAGCCGUAACUCACAAACUCUUCUUCCCCCUCUCUCUCGGCAAGGCAACUUCAGAGACAAAAAUGACCAAUGACAGAAGAGAUAUAUCCAUUCAACGAAAACGUAAAAGAGAGGAGACUGAAGUAUAUGAGGAAGAGGCAAUGAGAUUUUUGCCUUUGCUAGUGGAGUUUUUUUGUUAUGCUUGUUGGAAUAUGCUCGCGUAGGAAGUACUUUGUGAGAGAACCAUUAAGAAGUGAAAUUGAAGAAUAAUUUUUUAGUUUGAAAUUUUGAAUUUUAUGAAAAAAAAUCCAUCAUUUGGGUUUUUUCUCUAGUUGAUAUAAAAAUUUUAGUUGUCAAUAAUUGGCAAAAUAUUUUUUUAGUU